rnacentral:sRNA from 1 species
AGAAUGUUAACCCCCUGGCAUCUAUCUAGUCAGCGGAGGCGACGGAUGCUGCUAAACGCCUUACAAUCCACCGGAGGGCCCCUCCCCUACCCCGAAGUAGCCAUUCCGCAGAGGUGGAGAGACUCGCGUGAAGCUCAAUGCCCACGCACUUAGCCGACGGGAAAUCACGAAUUGAUGACCAGUUGGCUCUUGGAUCGGAGGAAAAAACUCCAGCGUCAGACGGAACUCUGGAAGUUUUGCCCGGAGCAAACAGAAGGGUGGUGUUGCCAUCGCCUAAGAUGGGAAAAUGCCAGGUGUCACAGGUGGCAGGGGAAGGUCGGAGACCAGCUGAGGGCCCCGGAGCCUUCCUGGAAAGAGUUUCCCAUCCAGCCCGUCUCGGUUCCGCAUCCGUCUGAUUCCUUAUGAUGUUGAGGGUGCUGGCGUCUGGGUCCUUUAUGAUGCAGCGGGUGCCCCCGUCUCACCCCGGGCGCCUCCCGUCUCCCGCCUCCUCCUGGCAACCUGGUGCGCGGCUCCGGACCUGGCGACCCACGACCGGCUGGUCACUUGCUGCCGCCUCGCAAAGGCGCAUCUCUAGUUCAGUGGUGAGCUGCGGCCGGGUCGCUGCAACUCGCUCCAGGACUCGGGAUUCGGUGUCCCUCACGGAGCCCUCGGUGUGUCGCCUGCAGGCUCUUUUUUUGAAGAAAGCAGGGAGGGAAUGGCCUUGUGAGAGACUCCAGGAGCAAAGAGCGACCCUCAAAAGGCCCAAGUCCUUCCAGAGCUCAGGGAAAGUGUCGCUUCUGGCCGAAGAAAGGAGAGAAAGCUCCCUCCCGUGUGUCCCUGGUG